rnacentral:rRNA from 1 species
UACGGAGGGUGCAAGCGUUAUCCGGAUUUACUGGGUUUAAAGGGUGUGUAGGCGGAUCUUUAAGUCAGCGGUGAAAUCUCCGGGCUCAACCCGGAAACUGCCAUUGAUACUAUUGGUCUUGAAUAUUGUGGAGGUGGGCGGAACGGGUCAUGUAGCGGUGAAAUGCUUAGAGAUGACCCGGAACACCGAUUGCGAAGGCAGCCCACUA